rnacentral:rRNA from 1 species
ACGAGUGGCGGACGGGGGAGUAAUGCUUGGGAAUCUGGCUUAUGGAGGGGGAUAACUACGGGAAACUGUAGCUAAUACCGCGUAAAAUCUUCGGAUUAAAGGGUGGGACUUUCGGGCCACCUGCCAUAAGAUGAGCCCAAGUGGGAUUAGGUAGUUGGUUAGGUAAAGGCUGACCAAGCCGACGAUCUCUAGCUGGUCUGAGAGGAUGACCAGCCACACUGGAACUGAGACACGGUCCAG